rnacentral:rRNA from 1 species
CAGCCGCCGCGGUAAUACGGAGGGUGCAAGCGUUAAUCGGAAUUACUGGGCGUAAAGCGCACGCAGGCGGUCUGUCAAGUCAGAUGUGAAAUCCCCGGGCUUAACCUGGGAACUGCAUUUGAAACUGGCAAGCUAGAGUAUGGUAGAGGGUGGUGGAAUUUCCUGUGUAGCGGUGAAAUGCGUAGAUAUAGGAAGGAACACCAGUGGCGAAGGCGACCACCUGGACUGAUACUGACACUGAGGUGCGAAAGCGUGGGGAGCAAACAGGAUUAGAUACCCCUGUAGUCCCUGUCUCUUAUAC